GACGAACGCUGGCGGCGGGCUUAACACAUGCAAGUCGAACGGAAAGGUCCGGCUUUUGUGGGGUGCUGGAGGGGCGAAGGGGUGAGUAACACGUGUGUAACCUGCACCUGCCGGUGGGAUAACUUCAGGAAACUGGGGCUAAUACCGGAUAGGAGCUCCUGCAGCAUGGUGGGGGCGGGAAAGUUUCGGUGGUUGGGGAUGGACUCGCGCCUUAUGAGGUUGUUGGAGUGGUAGUGGCUUACCAAGGCCUUGACGGGUAGCCGGCCUGGUAGGGUGACCGGCCCCGUUGCGCCUGAGAUACGGCCCAGACUCCUACGGGAGGCAGCGGUGCGGAAUGUUGCCCAAGGCGCGGGGGCCUAAUCCAGCCACGCCGCGUCCGGGGUGACGGCCUUCGGGUAGUGUUCCACUUCCGCCUGUGCCGAAGCGUGAGUGACGGUAAUAGGUGAAGAAGCCCCGGCUAACUCCGUG
rnacentral:rRNA from 1 species